rnacentral:lncRNA from 1 species
GCUGGAGGCUGUGUGUCAUUAUUGGAUUGCUUGAGUUGACUGGCACGAGGCCGUCCGUAAUGCAAAUGACAAAAAUUCAGAGAGUAGGCUGUCCUUAAAUGCAUUGGGAAAAUCCCCCAUGAAACAACAACAAACAAAAACUACUCGAAGCCCAUGGGAGAAGAGAGGAGGGUUGUGUGUGUUUGUACAUCGGAACCACGGUUUCUCAUGGCAGGCUCACUGGCUGUUUUUGCUGCAGUAUGAUAGAAAGAGCCCAUUUACUGUAGGGUGGGAAUUUUAAAUCUCCUUUUAAAAACAUGAUUCUCCUGGGAUUGUGUCAGAGGCAGGGAAACUGCUCCCGGGAGAACAGUUUCGUAACAACUUGUAGCUGAGUUUAUUUUGUUUCAUUAAAGUAUGCCCGGCUGAUCGUUUCCUCCUGUUCUCAUGCCUUGGGAGGCAGAAGGGGACAGACUCAAGCAUAGAGUUUCCACCAAAGCAGCACCGCGGAGACCCCGCCCUUCCCCCAAAUGCAAUCCAGAAAAUUCUCCUCCACCAAAUAAUAAUUGUCGCAUCCUCAAGGUAUAUACUUUUAUACCAAGUAGUCCUUUGUUUCUCCCCAUAUGUCUUCCACCUGUUUUCUUAUGUUUCUAUGCUGCUGACUCUGUGCUGUGGGCAAUAUUGAAAACGCAUAUGUCACAAUCCCUGCCCUCAAGGAACUUAACCAGACAAUUGGGAAUUGACACCAAAAAAAUGAUAGAGAACCACAAAGAUGGCACAGCCUCAAGACCUAAAUUUCAGACUAUAGUUUGAAAUCCUUUAGUGGAUGGGCUGUAAAAUGAGUUUAAGGGAUCACAAUUGGCAUUAAAAAAAAAGGAAAUAACUCAAACAGCAAAGAUUUGAGUGUCUAUGACAUAGUACAAGUAAGCAUAUUUUUAGUAAAAGUUUGGUUCUGUUUUACAUAGAAAUAUCAUGUUUCUUACCAUAGGUCCUGGUCACAUGUGUUUGAACACUUCUGACAAGCCAGGUGUGAGGUGAGUAUGGUCUGGUGUAUGAAAGAAUGCCAAGGAGAUACAAUCGUUCCUAACUUGUGUUUGAGUCAUGGACCCUGAGGACCAUUUGAGAAUGAUUGCAAGUCCCUCUAGAAAGCAUACAUAUGGCUGACAUUUUGCCUAUGAUCUCAGUAGUUCAUGGACUUUACAACCCGUUCACAGACCUUGGUUAGAUCCCUUU